rnacentral:rRNA from 1 species
GAUGAACGCUGGCGGCGUGCCUAAUACAUGCAAGUCGAGCGAACGGACGAGAAGCUUGCUUUUCUGAUGUUAGCGGCGGACGGGUGAGUAACACGUGGAUAACCUACCUAUAAGACUGGGAUAACUUCGGGAAACCGGAGCUAAUACCGGAUAAUAUUUUGAACCGCAUGGUUCAAAAGUGAAAGACGGUCUUGCUGUCACUUAUAGAUGGAUCCGCGCUGCAUUAGCUAGUUGGUAAGGUAACGGCUUACCAAGGCAACGAUGCAUAGCCGACCUGAGAGGGUGAUCGGCCACACUGGAACUGAGACACGGUCCAGACUCCUACGGGAGGCAGCAGUAGGGAAUCUUCCGGAAUGGGCGAAAGCCUGACGGAGCAACGCCGCGUGAGUGAUGAAGGUCUUCGGAUCGUAAAACUCUGUUAUUAGGGAAGAACAUAUGUGUAAGUAACUGUGCACAUCUUGACGGUACCUAAUCAGAAAGCCACGGCUAACUACGUG